rnacentral:rRNA from 1 species
CGGGACGGGUGAGUAACGCGUGGGUAACCUGCCUCAUACAGGGGGAUAGCAGCUGGAAACGGCUGGUAAUACCGCAUAAGCGCACAGUACCACAUGGUACAGUGUGAAAAACUCCGGUGGUAUGAGAUGGACCCGCGUCUGAUUAGCUUGUUGGCGGGGUAACGGCCCACCAAGGCGACGAUCAGUAGCCGACCUGAGAGGGUGACCGGCCACAUUGGGACUGAGACACGGCCCAG